rnacentral:rRNA from 1 species
GAUGAACGCUGGCGGCGUGCCUAACACAUGCAAGUCGAGCGAUUUACUUCGGUAAAGAGCGGCGGACGGGUGAGUAACGCGUGGGUAACCUGCCCUGUACACACGGAUAACAUACCGAAAGGUAUGCUAAUACGAGAUAAUAUGCUUUCAUCGCAUGGUAGAAGUAUCAAAGCUCUGGCGGUACAGGAUGGACCCGCGUCUGAUUAGCUAGUUGGUAAGGUAACGGCUUACCAAGGCGACGAUCAGUAGCCGACCUGAGAGGGUGAUCGGCCACAUUGGAACUGAGACACGGUCCAAACUCCUACGGGAGGCAGCAGUGGGGAAUAUUGCACAAUGGGCGAAAGCCUGAUGCAGCAACGCCGCGUGAGCGAUGAAGGCCUUCGGGUCGUAAAGCUCUGUCCUCAAGGAAGAUAAUGACGGUACUUGAGGAGGAAGCCCCGGCUAACUACGUGCCAGCAGCCGCCGUAA